rnacentral:rRNA from 1 species
UGGGGAAUAUUGCACAAUGGGCGCAAGCCUGAUGCAGCCAUGCCGCGUGUGUGAAGAAGGCCUUCGGGUUGUAAAGCACUUUCAGCGAGGAGGAAGGUGGUGAGCUUAAUACGCUCAUCAAUUGACGUUACUCGCAGAAGAAGCACCGGCUAACUCCGUGCCAGCAGCCGCGGUAAUACGGAGGGUGCAAGCGUUAAUCGGAAUUACUGGGCGUAAAGCGCACGCAGGCGGUUUGUUAAGUCAGAUGUGAAAUCCCCGGGCUCAACCUGGGAACUGCAUUUGAAACUGGCAAGCUAGAGUCUCGUAGAGGGGGGUAGAAUUCCAGGUGUAGCGGUGAAAUGCGUAGAGAUCUGGAGGAAUACCGGUGGCGAAGGCGGCCCCCUGGACGAAGACUGACGCUCAGGUGCGAAAGCGUGGGGCAGCAAACAGGAUUAGAUACCCUGGUAGUCCACGCUGUAAACGAUGUCGAUUUGGAGGUUGUGCCCUUGAGGCGUGGCUUCCGGAGCUAACGCGUUAAAUCGACCGCCUGGGGAGUACGGCC